CAGUCGCACACUUCAGAGAAUAAAUGAUAAAUGUCUUUAUCAAGCCCUAAAAGGUUCCAGGCUCUUAGUUAAAUCUCUCCUGGAUCAGGAAAAGACCUGGAAAGGGAAGAGGAUUCUCUAUAGAAUAUAGUUUCCACAUGACAGACAGCUGUGCAGGGCCGUUUCAAAAUAUGUCAAAGAAAUACAUUUUGGGGUAAAAUACUUUGAUUUCUUUCAGGGCCUGCCAUCUGUCAUGCGAUGCUAUACUAGAGACAGCUUCCCACUGAAUUAUCGUUCCUUGAAAGAUAUUUUGAAGAAUAUUGCUGGGUUUUUAUAAUCCCAGCCACACACAAUUUCCCAACCACUCAAAGCCAAAUAAUGGUAACAACAACACAAAAAAUCAAUUUACAAUUUAAAAUAAUUGACACCACUGACCAAACAUCUGCAUUUGCAUCUCUGGGGCUGCCGCAGUCCUGGAACUGUCCUUUACGGCUCUGCUUUCUCCUGACCUUGUCCUGGGCUCUCUUUCAGCUCCCUCUGGCCAGGUCCAGCAGUACUUGUCUCUUAAGAGCCAUGUAAUGACUCUGACCUGAAUAGACCCAGCUACCUAAAUUCUUUCCUUCUUUUCUCUGUAUUUCAACCUUUCUCCCAGGCUAUCUGCUCCAGGUUCUAAAUGUUCUCUGCCAUUUAAACAAUUGCCUGGUGAACAAUGAUUAAUUUAAUGAGGAGUCAGGAUGGCUCAGGGCCAGAAAAACAAUCACUCGUGGCUCUCUGGUCAACUCCAAUUACGUCUGCUAAUGAAAGAGAGAAAUGAUUUUUAAAAAUCCCAAACCAUGAAGUUAUGGAGGUUCCAGCUGGAGACUGCUUUGGAUUUUUUGUGAUUGGAUUUUUUAAAUCCAAAGAGGACCCCGCUUGUGGCCAUUUCAGCCUAAGGGCCAUUAUGGAAUCUAACUGACUUUCAAAGCCUCAUCCACUCAACCCAUGGGCCAACUGUUCCCAUAAGAGAAAAUGGCAAGGAGGACAGACAACUUCAGCAACAGAGAAAAUGCCAACUAACUGAUCCUCAUAGGAAGUUCUGGGGACUUCUACAUGUAGGUUCCCUUCCAUUCUCCUUGCUCACCUCCAAACUCAGAGAGGAAGAAACCCAGGAAAUAUGGAGCUUCAAAUGUGCUUAAAACUGCAAUAUCACCCAAUUUGAAAUUGAUUACAGGGAAUGUAAGCGGCUGUUUUUAGGCUAUUACUAAGGUUUUCUCAAAGAGUUAAUGGAGAUUUUGUUUGUUAGCUUUUCACAUAUAAUUGUAUAUGAUCUUGUGACUUAUGUAAAACAUUACAAUAAUGUAUUUGAGAAGUAGCAACUCAAGUUUUUUCCUAACAAAAUGUGUGCCAUUUUCCUCUUCCCCAGAACAAACACAUAUACUCAUAUUGAUCUGCUAUCAAAAGGUGAUUCCUGUACAAAAUUAGUCUGCAAAUCAUCUUGCACCUAACUAGAUGUUUUGAGUACAAACAGGAGGAUGAUUCAUCUUUUCAAAACAGAAUGUAGCCGGCAAAAAUGUUGUAUUGCUUUAAUUUCUCGUUUUGGAUUUGAAAAAAAAGAGCAGCUCAGCUAUUACUGAAUGAACUACUUAUUCUUCAACAUUGAGUCUGACUUGACCAGGAGGGCACAUAAACAGCUUGCUUUAAGAACAGCUGGUUGACUCACUGAUUACAGUCAGCAAAUUUUCUAGCUGUGUCAGGGCCUGCCUGGAAUUGCAACCUGGGAAGCAAAGAUACUCCUUAGGCAGAUGGGACUUCUGAAAUCAGCCAGUGGCUCAGGAAACACAGAAGUUCAAGGCCUCGGGUGGCCAAAAGUCAUCAUAUGGCCCACAUUAGCCUAUUCUUUGUGUGUAAGAUUCAGCCACCUGAGAAAACCUAAUUAUUCUUUUGCCAUCAGCUUCAACAACAUCAUGAUCUUCACCCAAAAUAAUCAAACUCUAACCUGCACACGGUGCUGUACCUUACAAGCACAUGGCAAGCAAUGUCUGCCUCCCCAGGCCUCCCACAAUGUUCUUUCUGAGUCUACUUUUCCACCGUGUAUUGGCAUAAUGGUGCCGGUGUGUGCCAACAUGCACUUCUUCUGCAGUCUGUGAGCUCCUCAACUGGAGAUACUAUUGCUGCGGUUCAAUCAGGCUGGUGGGAAAAAUAUUAGAGAUAGUUAUAGAGAUAGACACAAAUCUUCUUGGAAGGCCAAGAAGUUUGCAUAACUUCGGUAAUAUAUCUGGCUGAUGGUGGCCUGGUCCCUUUACCUUUAGUUAAACAAAUUAAAGUAGUAACAAAGGAAGGCAGAGUAGUUUACCUAGCUAGCUUGUUUACCCAUGUGGUCUUAAGACUAACCUCUGACGUACUGCAGGUGCUUAAGUGCUUUUUACUUGGGAAGUCCACAAUGUCAAUUACCCUCUAAUAGUGUUGACUCAAGCCACUGUUAAUUAAUCUUACUGAAUAAAUGCGAGUCUCACUAGAUGAUCAGUGCCAUAGUCGCAACUGUUUACAGCACUUAACAGGGAGUCUGUAAGCAGCUCAGACACCCUCAGCUGGACUGGCAAAGCAGAAUAUCUGUGUGUCAGUGAAUGUUAUUCAUCCGUCCCUGGGUCAGGUGUCUGCAAGGGACAGACCCCCUGCAGCUGGUGCCCCUGUGUGAGGGGCGCUGCUGCACACUAUGACUCAUACUAACCUGCAUAGUGAUGCACAAUCCAAAGGAGGAUCCCAAACUUCCUGCAACUGGAACCAAACCAAAAUUCAUCAUCCAACGUAACACAUCAAAGUGAUCAUUUAUAGAAAGACCCUUCAAGACACUCUGAUAAUUACACAUUUAUAAAAAUUACACAGAUAUACAUAUAUAAAGCAAAUCUCCACUAAUUUCAUUAACGAAAUAAGAAUAAGUAAUUAAUCCAAAGCAGAACUUAAUCAAGAUACCAUUAAUAUUUGCCUUAGGAAUAUUAUAUGAUUUUUACACAGUGAUUCGAUAUGUGCUCAGUUCUCACUAAAAUUAGUCUGUCUUUUCCAAUCCCACUGUGUCAGGUCACAGGAGAGUACAACACAGCAUGUUCUGGUUGGCAAGGGACAGUCAGUGAAAAAUGAAUUACAUGGUCCCAUUAAACCCUAAUAUGAAUAAACUGUGUGUGUAUAAGUGUAUGUGUCUUUAAGUGUAUGAGGUGUGACAUAGUAUAUGUGAGUGUGUGCAUGUUUCUGUGUGUGCCUGUGUAUGUGUAUCCAGAUCUCAUUGUCUUUACUUUGGAUACAAAGCUAUGGCGCAAGUGUGUUUGACAAUCAUCUUUUAAAAAUAGCCCUUUCACAUGGAGUUUAUUUAGUUGGUCUUACUGAUAUCGUGUAUUGUGUGCCUAGUUUUGUUCUAAACGAGGGCCAGCAAAUCAUGGCCUAUGAGCUGAAUCCAGGCCUGUUUUGGUAAAUAAAGUUUUAUUGGAAUACAGUCAUUCCCAUUUAUUUACAUACUAUUUAUGGCUGCUUUCAUAUUAAGAUAGUUGUGACAGAGACCAUAUGGCCCACAAAACCUAAAACGUUUUCAGUCUGACCCUUUACAGAAAAAGUUUGCUAACUCUUGUUAAAAGUACUUAACAACUACUAACUGCUACCUGUAAGGUUUCAUCUGCAUAACAAGACCACCUUUGCUAGCCAGGUUUCCUCUUCUCUCCCUCCUAUAACCCAUUUUACCAUCAGAACCUGUUUCAUCACAAUCCAAGCCCCUAUUCUUUGUGUAACCUCAAGAUGGUAUCAAGCAUCAACCAUCUGGCCAUUUCUUUGAGCUUUUAUAUUUUAGAUGGCAUCUGAGCAUGCAUAUACAUCUGAUAAAAU
rnacentral:lncRNA from 10 species